CUAACUUGAAACUCUAAUUAAUAAGAAAUAACCAAAACAGAAAAAAAAAUAAAAAAAAAUCAGAAACUAAUCUACUAAAUAAAAAAAAUCAGAAAUUAAUUAAAGAGAUGAUGAUUAUAGCUAACAAGUAUGUUUGAAGCCGAAAAAUAGCUAAAAUGGGGGUUCGGGGCAUUUUGGCGGUGGAGCCGUGGCGGCGGCGAGGAGCGGGCCGGUGGCGACGAGGAUUUUGGGGGUGAAAUGGGUAGGAAAAGAUAGGUCUCGCAGAGCUCUAUCCAUUCAUGUAUGUGUUGUAGGGUGGUGUUGGCCGGAGCUUCAAGAAUUUGGACCAAAAAGUGGCGGCUAAAAUUUCUUAGAUCUAAAAUUCAAGGAGUUUGAAGGUUUUUUGAAGGAAUUGGUUUGGAGAUAUGGGAAGAGGAGGUUGUGGAGAUUAUAUGGUGUUAAUUUGGAGGUGGUCCGCCGCCGGUGGGUGAUUUCCGGCGGCGGCGGUGGUGGUGGAGAGAAGAGAGAGAAGAGAGAGAAGAGAGAGA
rnacentral:lncRNA from 1 species